ensembl:misc_RNA Gm26168 predicted gene, 26168
GGCUGGCCCGAAGGUAGUGAGUUAUCUCAAUUGAUUGUUCACAGUCAGUUACAGAUUGAACUCCUGUUUUACGCUUUGCCCCCUCUCACUCCUGCACUUGAACUCGUCUAAA